CAAGGGGAUUUACUGGUGUUGGUCUGUUCAUGCAUGUUAAUGAUGUCAAGAGGAAGGAAGCCAAGGUCUCAACUGAUCUAUUUCUAUCUCUCAUCGUGUCUGGCUGACAAACAUCAUUUCUCAAGAGUGGAAUCUAGCUGCUGAUGAGGCUUCACCACAGAGACGUGAGAAACAACGAUGGGUUUGAGAGAAGCAGCGAGUUGCUUUGUCAUCUUCCUUCUUUCUGUGUCAGUGGUGCAGGGUGAGGAUCCCUGGGGGGUGAGGUGCACUCCGACUCAGAUCUGUGCUGUAAAAGGAUCGAAGGUGCAAAUACGCUGCUCCUACUGGCACCCAUCCAGAAUAGAUGACCAUGAUGUUGCAGUGGAGAAAGAGUUCUGGUUUACUAAAGUGCAGUAUGGUGAACCUGUGGAUCUGAGAUCAGCCUCUGAGUACACAGGUCGUGUGAAGUAUGACUGUGGAAACAAGGCCUGCACUCUGACCAUCACAGACCUGAGAGACAGCGACUCUGAUGUGUACCAGUUCAGGUUCACAACAAACCAACCUACUGGGAGAUUUACUGGUUCACCUGGAGUCUCCUUGUCUGUCACAGGUGUCCAGGCGCACAUUCCAAAAUCCUCAAGUUGCUGGUGGUAUGACUGUUCAAAGUCACGUGUGGAGUGUCAAACCAGUUGUUCUCCAACUCCCAGUCCGUCCUACAUCUGGUACAAGAAUGGAAAAAAGACACCGGGAGAACAAUCUUAUACAGCCUACUUUUAUUCAGCAGACAGUAUUUCCUGUGCUGUGAGAGGCCACGAGGAUUUCCCCUCUGCUCCAGUGUGUGUCGAUGGAAAUUCAUGCUACAGAGUGAAUUACAUCAACAGGAACAUCUGUGCCUUUAAAGGCUCCUCAGUGGACAUCUCUUGCAGUUACAACAGUCACUUUUAUUCUAUGACUAAGUCCUGGUUGGUUGCUGAGCGUGAGGAUGUGCAGCUGUAUCGUCCUCAAGCUGUGGACUUACUCAACGACCCAGAGUUCACAGCUCGUGUUCAGGUCCUUGAUCCAGAGCCAGGGCGCUCCACUCUGAGGAUAAUGAACCUGACACUGAGUGAUUCAGCCCAGUAUCGCUUCACAUUCAAAUCACAGUGGUUUGAAUGGGACAGAAGUUUCCCUGGCACAACUCUGACUGUCACAGAUCCAGAUGUUCAGGUUAUCUGUUCUCCGAUUGGUCCAACACUGACUUGUCACAGCAGCUGUCUUCUCUCUGGUCGUCCCUCCUUUGUCUGGUACAAGAAUGGAAGAGAAGUUCAAGGGGAAACGUCUCCAACUUUCAGGGGAUUCCUUCACCCUGAAAACAACUAUUCCUGUGCUUAUGAGCAUCACCACUCGUCCCCUGUGUAUGCUCCGAAGGUUCCUUUAGUGCAGCUGAGUCAACCUGGAGACAUUCUGAAGGACAGCUCGGUGUCUCUGACCUGCAGCAGUGAUGCUAACCCACCCCCUGCAUACACCUGGUACAAGGAGAACCAGACUUUGCUCAACAGAGCAGCUCAGCUGGUUUUCAGAUCCAUCCUGUUCUCUGACUCUGGAGAGUAUUACUGCACAGCUGAGAAUGCGCUUGGGAAGACAACGUCUAAAUGUGUCUUAAUAAAUGUGAAAUAUGCUCCACAGUCCUCCUCUGUGUCAGUGAGUCCCUCUGGUGAGAUCAUGGAGGGCAGCUCGGUGACUCUGACCUGCAGCAGUGAUGCUAACCCAGCAGCUAACUACACCUGGUACAAGGAGAACCGAACUCUGCUUCAAGGACCAGAGGGUGUUUAUCGUCUCUCCUCCAUCAGCUCUGGGGACAGCGGGGUCUACUCCUGCAAGUCUGAGAAUCAGUACGGACGGAUCAACUCCACGUCUCUACACUUAGACGUCCAGUACGCUCCAAAGCCUCCCUCUGUGUCAGUGAGUCCCUCUGGUGAGAUCAUGGAGGGCAGCUCGGUGACUCUGACCUGCAGCAGUGAUGCUAACCCAGCAGCUAACUACACCUGGUACAAGAGAAGUGGAGAUAAACAAGUUCAACCAACAGCAUCAGGACAAAUCUUCACCAUCACUGAUAUCACAGCUGAACAUGGUGGAAAGUAUCAGUGUGAGGCCCAGAACACAUACGGACGUAGUAACACCACCUUACAUCUGACUGUUGGAGCAGGUGCUUGGAAAUCAGCAGUGACUGGAACAACCACAGCUCUUCUCCUGGUGGUCAUCCUCCUCGCUGUCUUCCUGUGGAUCAGUUCAUCCAACUGUUUAUUUCUUUCCUCCCAUCUAGAAGAAACAAGUCCUUCACACAACAGCGUGAGUGCAGUGAGAGACCAGAAGACAGAGUGCAGAUUCCAGCUGCGGCACACACACGACCAGCAGAGCAGCACCAUGAGGUCCACUACGCCAGCGUCUGCUUCACCCAGAACCGGGCAGAUGACCUCUACGCCAACAUAGGUCGAGUUCAACCCCAGAGAGAAACUGAGGAAGAGGAGGAGGAGGCUGAAUACAGCGCUGUUCGAUUUGUCAGUGCAACAGGAACAAGACGUGAAGAAGAGGAGGACGAUUCAUCUGCAGUGUACAGCACAGUCACCAAACACUGAAGAGACACAACGUGAAUCUGUUGUUUAUAUGUGGAUUUUACAUUAUCAAGGAACCAGAAGAAAUAAAACAUAUAGACAUGUGCA